rnacentral:rRNA from 1 species
UACGUAGGGACCGAGCGUUGUCCGGAUUCAUUGGGCGUAAAGAGCUCGUAGGCGGCCACUCAAGUCGAAUGUGAAACCUCGAGGCUUAACCUCGAGCCUGCAUUCGAUACUGGGCGGCUAGAGUCUGGUAGGGGGAUCUGGAAUUCCUGGUGUAGCGGUGAAAUGCGCAGAUAUCGGGAGGAACACCAGUAGCGAAGGCGGCACUCUGGGCCGUGACUGACGCUGAGGAGCGAAAGCGUGGGUAGCAAACAGG